rnacentral:lncRNA from 1 species
AGAGGCUAUAUACAGUAGAGAGGCUAUAUACAGUAGAGAGGCUAUAUACAGUAGAGAGGUUAUAUACAGUAGAGAGGCUAUACACAGUAGAGAGGCUAUAUACAGUAGAGAGGCUAUAUACAGUAGAGAGGUUAUAUACAGUAGAGAGGCUAUAUACAGUAGAGAGGCUAUAUACAGUAGAGAGGCUAUAUACAGUAGAGAGGCUACAUACAGUAGAGAGGUUAUAUACAGUAGAGAGGCUAUAUACAGUAGAGAGGCUAUAUACAGUAGAGAGGCUAUAUACAGUAGAGAGGUUAUAUACAGUAGAGAGGCUAUAUACAGUAGAGAGGCUAUAUACAGUAGAGAGGUUAUAUACAGUAGAGAGGUUAUAUACAGUAGAGGUUAUAUACAGUAGAGAGGCUAUACACAGUAGAGAGGCUAUAUACAGUAGAGAGGCUAUAUACAGUAGAGAGGCUAUAUACAGUAGAGAGGUUAUAUACAGUAGAGAGGCUAUAUACAGUAGAGAGGCUAUAUACAGUAGAGAGGCUAUAUACAGUAGAGAGGUUAUAUACAGUAGAGAGGCUAUAUACAGUAGAGAGGCUAUAUACAGUAGAGAGGUUAUAUACAGUAGAGAGGCUAUAUACAGUAGAGAGGCUAUAUACAGUAGAGAGGUUAUAAACAGUAGAGAG